rnacentral:rRNA from 1 species
AGCUGGAAUCGCUAGUAAUCGCGAAUCAGAAUGUCGCGGUGAAUACGUUCCCGGGUCUUGUACACACCGCCCGUCACACCAUGGGAGUCAGUAACGCCCGAAGUCAGUGACCCAACCGGAACCGGAGGGAGCUGCCGAAGGUGGGACCGAUAACUGGGGUGAAGUCGUAACAAGGUAAC